GGAUUAGAUACCCUGGUAGUCCACGCAGUAAACGUUGUUCACUAGGUGUAGCGGGUAUUGACCCCUGCUGUGCCGCAGCUAACGCAUUAAGUGAACCGCCUGGGGAGUACGGCCGCAAGGCUAAAACUCAAAGGAAUUGACGGGGGCCCGCACAAGCGGUGGAGCAUGUGGUUUAAUUCGACGCAACGCGAAGAACCUUACCUGGAUUUGACAUCUCGGGAAUCUUUUCGAAAGUUUAGAGUGCCCUUCGGGGAACCCGAUGACAGGUGCUGCAUGGCUGUCGUCAGCUCGUGCCG
rnacentral:rRNA from 1 species